UGAACGGUUGGCGGUGCAACUAAUACAUGCAAGUUGAACGGUAAAUAGUAGCGGAUUGGUGAGUAAUACAUAUUUAACUUGCCUAUUUGUAGAGUAUAACUUUUUAGGAUUGAUUAUUGCGAAAGUGAUUUUUAAUUCUUUAGUUCUCUUUGAGAAGAAAAGCUAAUCCUUUAUGAUAUUAAAAUUUGAAUGAAUUUUAAUUAAAGAUUUAAUUAAAUUGAUUUAAAUAGUUGUGAUUUUUAAUUGCAAUUUUUUCUUUUAAUUUUAUUAAUUUCGCAAAUAGAUAGGAAUAUGUCAUAUUAAUGCUAGUUGGUGAGGUAACGGCUUAACAAGGCUAUGAUGUGAUAGCUGGUCUGAGAGGAUGUACAGCCACAUUGGGACUGAGACACAGCCCAACUUUCCGUAAAAGGAGAGCAGCAGUAGUGAAUCUUUACGCAAUGAGCGAAAGCUUAACGGAGUGACACCGCAUGACUGAUGAAGGUGAAAAUUGUAAAAGUCUAUAAUAAACGAAGAAGUCAGAAUACGAAGGUAUUUUGAUUGACACGUAGUUUAUUUGAAUGAGCAGCGACUAACUCUGUGCCAGCAGUCGCGGCAAUACAGAGGCUGCAAACGUUAUUCGGAUUUAUUGGGUGUAAAGGGUGCGUAGACGGUUAUGUGUGUUUAAAGUUAAAUCUUAAAGCUCAACUUUAUUAUGCUUUAAAAACUGCAUUACUAGAGUUUAGAGGAGGUUAUUGGAAUUUGACAAGUAGCGGUGAAAUGCUUUGAUAUGUCAAGGAAUGCCGAGGGCGAAAGCGGAUAACUAAUCUAAUACUGACGUUGAUUGCACGAAAGCACAGGGGGCAAAGCGGAUUAGAUACCCGUGUAGUCUGUGCCGUAAACGAUGAUUACUAAAUGUUAGUCUUUUUUAAGAUUAGUGUUGCAGCAAACGCUUUAAGUAAUCCACCUGGGUAGUACGCUCGCAAGAGUGAAACUCAAAGAAAUUGACGGGGAGCCGCACAAUCAGUGGAGCAUGUGGUUUAAUUCGAAGCAACGCGAAGAACCUUACCAAGGCUUGAAAUUAGUAGCGCAAAGUCAUAGAGAUAUGAUGGAGGUUAUCGCUAUGACAGGUGUUGCAUGGUUGUCGUCAGUUCGUGUCGUGAGAUGUUUGGUUUAGUCCUGUAACGAACGCAACCCUCAUUUUUAGUUGCUAUUCAACAAUAUUUUGUUGAAAGGACUCUAAAAGGACUGCCUGGUGUAAACCGGAGGAAGGAGAGGAUGAAGUCAAAUCAUUAUGGCCCUUAUGCCUUGGGCUACACACGUGCUACAAUGGUCACUACAAAGGGAAGCCAAGCUGCGAAGCGGAGCAAAUCUCAAAAAGGUGGCCAUUUUGUUUGGAUUGAAGUUUGCAACUCAACUUCAUGAAAUUGUAAUUGCUAGUAAUCGCGAAUCAGCAACGUCGCGGUGAUACGUUCCCGGUUCUUGCACACACCG
rnacentral:rRNA from 1 species